GAUGAACGCUAGCUACAGGCUUAACACAUGCAAGUCGAGGGACCGGCGCACGGGUGAGUAACGCGUAUCCAACCUUCCCAUUACUGUGGGAUAACCUGCCGAAAGGCAGACUAAUACCGCAUAGUAAUGGAUGGGGAUGCGUUGGAUUAGCUUGUUGGUGAGGUAACGGCCCACCAAGACUUCGAUCAGUAGGGGUUCUGAGAGGAAGGUCCCCCACGUGGGAACUGAGACACGUGCCAAACUCCUACGGGAGGCAGCAGUGAGGAAUAUUGGUCAAUGGAUGCAAAUCUGAACCAGCCAAGUAGCGUGCAGGAUGACGGCCUAUGGGUUGUAAACUGCUUUUAUGUGAGAAUAUGUAUCACAUGAAUAAGGACCGGCUAAUUCCGUGCCAGCAGCCGCGGUAAUAC
rnacentral:rRNA from 1 species